rnacentral:rRNA from 1 species
GAUGAACGCUGGCGGCGUGCCUAAUACAUGCAAGUCGAGCUAACAGACGAGGAGCUUGCUCCUCUGACGUUAGCGGCGGACGGGUGAGUAACACGUGGAUAACCUACCUAUAAGACUGGGAUAACUUCGGGAAACCGGAGCUAAUACCGGAUAAUAUAUUGAACCGCAUGGUUCAAUAGUGAAAGACGGUUUUGCUGUCACUUAUAGAUGGAUCCGCGCCGCAUUAGCUAGUUGGUAAGGUAACGGCUUACCAAGGCGACGAUGCGUAGCCGACCUGAGAGGGUGAUCGGCCACACUGGAACUGAGACACGGUCCAGACGCCUACGGGAGGCAGCAGUAGGGAAUCUUCCGCAAUGGGCGAAAGCCUGACGGAGCAACGCCGCGUGAGUGAUGAAGGUCUUCGGAUCGUAAAACUCUGUUAUUAGGGAAGAACAAAUGUGUAAGUAACUAUGCACGUCUUGACGGUACCUAAUCAGAAAGCCACGGCUAACUACGUG